rnacentral:snoRNA from 1 species
UUCCACGUUACCAUGAGAGCUGUGUCAUUAUUUCAGUCUCUCUUCCUAGGCGUGGUAUAGAAACCUCAUUUCGCCACAACCAGCCUCAUGUGCAUCAAUCACAGGAUGCGAAGUUGGCAUAAUGAAC